rnacentral:rRNA from 1 species
UACAGAGGAGCCAAGCGUUGUCCGGAUUGACUGGGCGUAAAGCGCACGCAGGCGGACGCGCGCGUGGGGUGUGAAAUCUGGCCGCUUAACGGCCAGCGGCCAUCCCAUACGGCGGGUCUGGAGCGAUGCAGAGGUCGGUGGAAUUGCCGGUGUAGUGGUGAAAUGCGUAGAUAUCGGGAGGAACACCUGCGAUGUAGAUGGCUUACUGGACCGUAACUGACGCUGAGGCACGAAAGCGUGGGUAGCAAACAGG